UUAAACGCAAUGAAGAGAAAAGUAUUUUCACAGAAUGCAACAACAGAGAGCCUGAAUGCUGAGAACAGGUUUGCAGGAAUGAAAAGAAAAUGGCCUCCGAGCGGGAUACUGAGUGUUUUUAAACAUUAGGCUAUCAUGGGCGCACCCAUUACAGUGCUAGAGUAUCAGAAGCAAUCUUCUCGUACUUGAUAAGGAGUUGUUUGCGAGAACAACUCAAAUAAAGGUGGUAACACGACGGUAAAGCGUUCGUCCUUUAA
rnacentral:ncRNA from 1 species